CACGUAGGCGGACCAGAAAGUUGGGGGUGAAAUCCCGGGGCUCAACCCCGGAACUGCCUCUAAAACUCCUGGUCUAGAGUACGAGAGAGGUGAGUGGAAUUCCGAGUGUAGAGGUGAAAUUCGUAGAUAUUCGGAGGAACACCAGUGGCGAAGGCGGCUCACUGGCUCGAUACUGACGCUGAGGUGCGAAAGCGUGGGGAGCAAACA
rnacentral:rRNA from 1 species